UAUUUUUAUAAGGCGACACCCAGAUUCGAACUGAGGAUGAAGGAUUUGCAGUCCCCCGCCGUACCCCUUGGCCAUGCCGCC
rnacentral:tRNA from 1 species